GUAAAACCAUUGGAAGAAUUAAUAACAUCAUUAAAAUGGAAAGAUUUGUUCAUAUUUUUAGUCCCAAUAGGCUAGAACAAAUAUGGACCUUAUUAGUUAAGCACAUAAUUAUAACAAUAUAUCUUGGGAAUUAAAAAAUAACAACUGGAGUUCAUGAUUUGUAUUGAAAUAUAACAUCCCAUGAGGCGAUGACAAUAUAAAUGAGCCUUUGGUCUUUAAAGGGGUUUCACUAAGCACGUCCCUAGAUCACUGGGAAUUCAUUCAUUCAUUCCACAAAUAUUACUUAUUAACAAUAAGUUUAUGAUAUUUCCUCUUUUAAUGGAAUUGUAUACAGUACAUGACCAUCUCUUCCACGAGUAUUUUUUAAAGACAUCAUGCUACCGAUCAUGCUAAUAGGCUCCAUACCCCUCAGACCUGCCUAUGUUUUUCUGGAACUUGAGUUUUCUGGUAUCUAUCUAGACUUUUGUGUCUUCUUCCUCAUCCUGUCCAGCUGGUGUCAAACCCGUAGUCCCUGGGGGCCCACGGAACCUCAACCCGAUGCCUUGCAGUCCAUCCUUCAUUUCCACAAGGGCAGACAGUCACAGCCCAGCACAGUUCUGGACAAGCAGAGGCCGAGACCUCGGAGUGACUAGCUUCAGAGCCCAGAGUCACCGAAGAGGCUCCCCGGAGCAGCGCUGAUGAAUUCUUCUUACACAAAGACCAGAGGUUAGCCAUAGUUGCAAUUAGUGAUUUGUGUUAAUUGGCUUAUCCCGGAUUACAUAUACUCUAUUUCUCUUCAGUAAGGGCACCGUGUGAAGGUGACCACAUGCUAAAGAUUUUUCAGGAACAGCUGCAAUUUUACAUGCUGUUUUCCCCCUCCUUAUAUUUUCCAAAGUACACUCAUACUUGUCAAACCAUAUGUCCCAUUUUUAUGUUUUAAAAAAUAUGUUCCUUGUAACUAUCAGAUUAUUUAUUUUGCCAUGGAAACACUUCUAGUCCCUGAUAACCCAGAAACCAGAAGAAGAAGAAGAAAAGGCCUUACUUCUAUUUACUUCACAGAUUCGGCCCCAGCUCCACCCAAGCCUAUCAAUCCUGAGAUUCCAGGCUGGAGGAUUUCAAUAUAACUUGCCAGGUAAUAUCAGUUGCACUUUCUUUCUCUUCAAUGAGCAAGACUGACCACACCGCUAUUCAUUCGUGCCUCUGAUGAUUCGGGUGUGCUUGCUUUUACUGGAAUGCCCUUACAUGCCAAGGAGGGGUUAUUUGUGGCUCCCCACCGGCUAACACAUGUUACCAUUUGGGCUACGCAAGGGAAUAUGCGUAGCUCAGUGGAAACUCUUCCCCAUGGUUUGGCUAAUACCAUACAUUUGUGAUGAAAAUCACUGCAUCUCACUGAAGAAGCAACAUAUUCUUCUUGGGGGCUUUCAGUAAAGAUGGAGAAUACAUGUUGCGGAUGAGAGGAGAUAUACCAUAUUGGCCUGGCCUGUGCCAUCUGGGAACCUGAAGACUGUUGGCAGAAGGGUCUGCACAGACAGGCCUGCUGGUGUCUCACCAAGGGCUGACACAGUCACAUCAGGGCUCACCUGGGGUUCACCUGUCAGUGCUCAAUGUCUAGUUGAGUACUCGGCAUUGAAGGCCCUCAGAUACCACAUAAAGGCCAAGUUCCAGGCACCCACAUGGAGUGUAGACCACAGAGGCAGCAAAGGCCUUCUCCAUCUUUACAGAUAGAAUUGACUGUGCAAGUGGUUACUUCCUGAGGUAAGGACAUAGGUCUUGGGAAAGCCAGCAGAGACACGAUUAGAUCAAUUCACUCCUCAGAAGCCUUCAGUGGUCCAUCAUCCACUCGAAACUCCUCGGCUCAGCAUUCACAGCCCCAAAUACUCUGAUCCCCACACACUCUGGCGACACUGCCUCCCACUAUCCUCACUCACUUGCUCCCUGGGAAGCAGUAUGGAAGUAUUCCUCAUCCUCUGACAUGUCCCGAGCACUCCUAGUCCCAUAGAACUCUGCCUCCCUUCACGAUUUCCUGUUAAAGUUCCUGUGUCUAGAUCUGAUACCGGGAGUGGGAGCAGGCCUGGCAUGGGGAACAAGUUGGAAAGUGAAUGUGAAAGAGUGGAAGAUGGUGCCGGUAAGAAAAAAAAAAGGUGCUACAGAACAAUUUCAUCCAGGUUCUGUUCUAAGCAUUCCAUAUUUAGACUUUCCUUUAAUAUCUGGAGUGCUCACCAUUCCUAAGUGAGUUGGUUUAGUGGGCUAGCAUCAUCCCCACUCCAAAAUGGGGACGACCCUGAGCCCAUAGUCUUUGCUUUUUGGCUUUUUGGUUGACUUUUACUGUCCUUGGGAGAACCUACUAGUCCUGUCUGAGUUCCUCCUUGGAAUGGAGAUAUGAGAGGGACAGGGGUUCUGCAUGGACACCUAAGUGACCAGCCCCAAUGCCAUGCUUCCAGGCCCUGCUUAAGUCACACCAACUCUACCAGGAAUUCUUGUUCUCCUCGGGAGGAAUUAAUUUCUCCCUUCCCUUAAUCCCAUAGCAUUGUAUUACUUGUGAUAAAGUCUCUACUUUAAUAUGGCUUCUACUUGAUCUCCUUGACUGAGAGCUCCAUCAGGGCACGAACCCUAUCUAUUCAGGUUUGUAUGUCCUGAGUAUUGCUGGACACAUAGGAGACCCUAACACAUUAAUUGAAUUACUUGAAUUUAACUAAUUUGUACAGAGAGCUGGGAACGUUCUAGGUCAUGUCAUGUGAUAGAUCUUUGAACUCUGUCCCCAGAGAUGGUUUGCGUAUGUGUGUGCGUGCAUGUGCACAAACUUGUAGGAUGGAGGCCCCAGCUGGAAGAGGAAUUUGGAACAAAACUUUAUGGAGAUAAAACCAACUAUAGGGAUGCCUGGGUGGCUCAGCAGUUGAGCAUCUGCCUCCAGCUCAUGGCGUGAUCUGGAGGUCUGGGAUUGAGUCCCACAUCAGGCUCCUUGCAGCGAGCCUGCUUCUCUCUCUCUCUCUCUCUCUCUCUCUCUCUCUCUCUUUCUCUCAUGAAUAAAUAAAUAAAAUAAAAUAAAAAAACAGCUAUGACUGGGCCACUUUUCAGGGAGCCUGGGGUUCUGCUUCUCGAGAAACUAUUCCAGAUUGAGGUAUAAGCUUUUUCUUGAUUCAGUUGUUGCUUUCCUCCUGGGGGCCUCAGAGUCUGAUCACUCUUAGCACAGACAGAAACUUCUCAGGACCAUCAUGGUAAAGACUGGAGUUCUAGCUGAAGCUCCUUCUGGCACCCCCCCGCCUUCCCCCUGUGCUCUUGGCACAUCUCUCCUGUGUCUCUUUCCCUAUCAACUCGUCCCUAAGUCAAGUUUCUCCAAAGACUCCUGGGGCAACAGUACUGAAGGUCCACCGGCCUUUUGAUGCCAAAGUGGGCUGUGGCUGCACAGUCUGCCUCUUCC
rnacentral:lncRNA from 1 species